GUAAGUGAAGCAGCCCAGCAGGGGUUCUCCUUCCCAAGCUAGAUCUUGGCCAUCGUGGUGGGUGUGGGAAGGAAUCUGGAGGGACAACACGCCGGGUCUUUUUACUAACAUAGUCCUAAUUUUCAGAGGGUACAUUGGCGGCCUUCAUCUGCACAGCAGGGGGUCCUCCUCCAAAGACUGCUCCAGGAUGUGGUCUCCCUCUCACAAAUGUAUUGGAAAACCUGGGAAUCAUUCAAUAGAACUGAGGGUGUGGUGGCAGCCUUCAGCUGCACAGCAGGGGGUCCUCCUCCACAGACAGCUCCAGGACAUGGUCUCCCUCAGACAAAUUCAUUGGAAAACCUGGGAAACAUUCAAGAGAAUAGCUAAUCCUCCAUAGUCAAACAAGCUAACUGACACUUGGCUUGAGGAAGGGUGGGGGCGGUGGUGGCCUUCAUCUGCCCAGCAGGGGGUCCUCCUCCAAAGACAGCUCCACGACAUGGUUUUGUUCCCAGAGUUCCUGGCCCUCAACUGCACAGAAUGGCAUCCUCCUUAUACAAAAGCUCCAGAACAUUGACAGUGAUUCCUGUGCAGCGCAAAG